UGCUCCACUCAGUUGAGGUUGGUUUCUCGUACGGCGUGGUCGCAUUCUGUUCUAUCCGCAUUGCGUCAGAGUAUAUUUUCCCCGAGUCAGUGGCAGAGUCUCUGUUGGUGUGUCAGUGUCCGUGUGUGGCAGAAUUCCCAGAAAAAAGCAGCCAAAAUUAGGCUUUUCAAAAAUGGAUAAGCAAAACAUGAAAAUGUGUAUAAAUGCCGCCGAAAAUGAACGCAUUAAAAUGAAUCAUAAUUGAGAGCAAGGAAAAAAUGAGCAAGAGUAUCUAAUCUCGAGCGUAUGAAAGGAGUGCGAGCGAGCGAGAUAGCGAAUCGAUACGAAACGAAAAGCUCUUUGGGAUGCGUUUCAUUUGCAACGUCUCCUCGUCAUCAACAGCUGAAGACAGCGAACAAAGUGAGCGCGAGCGCACCACGCACUCACAGCUUCUAUCUCACACACACCCAUUUUUCAACUCUCUCCCCUGUGAACAGAGCCCCGAGGAAAGGGUGUCAGCAAACAUCUGCAUUUUAUUAAUUAACGAGAAACGAAUUAGAUACAUAAUUAAUUUAAUAUAUUCUCCUCCUCUCCAGAGAAACUGUAAAGAAACAGACUCACGCAAUCAGACUUGCGCAAAUCAAAAGAGAGACAAGCGAGAGACAGAGAGAGAGAGAACGUCGUAUAACAACUACAAUCGAGAGCGAGCUGAGAGCAGUGCACAAAGCAAAGGCCAGAGCGAGAGGGAAGCCGAACACGCGCAGGCACACGAUACAAACUCAAACUCUUUCGUCGCGUUGGUUGUGUGUGUGCCACUCAAAAAAUUCGUCUCUUCGCGUCCACAAUGUGCCACCAAGUGAGCGGAAAGUUUUCAGCCUGAUUUUCAUAGUCGCCGUAUGAGAAGUUUCCUCUGUUUUUCUUUCGUUGCCCCGUUCGCAGCGGUGUGAAGAGUGGGACAACGAAUUAUCCAACUAAAAAGCGGACUCAAAAAACAAGUUCAAGCCAAAAUCAACAAACGAUUGGAUUGUCUAUUGCAGUGCGGAAUAUCGAUUUUUGGUCAUACGCGCGCGUCGAUGACCUCGCCGACAACAAUUACAACGGACAGCUGAGAGCAGUGCAAAAAUCAAAGGCAAACGCAGAGUCAAAGGCUAAAGCAAAAGCAACUAUAACACAAAGUCAGGCAAAAGUGCGAGCAACAACUACGACGGCGACCGUUGCAAGCCGAGUGCCAGAGGGAAAGGGAAACAAACAUUUAGACAGACGGAGAAGAGCGGGAGGAAGGAGAACAGCAAGCAGCAAGCGGGAGAGGAGCGGCAGCGGCAGCGUCGGCGGCGGCAGCCAAGAACCCCAGAGACACAUGCUUAGAUAUCGUCUCGUGUCCACACACUUUUUGAAGCAGCCGUAGUCAGCCAGAGCGAGAGGGAAGCGAAAUAUUGAGAGAGUGCAACACCACCACCACCACCACCUAAGGGGGGAGAGAAACAUCUAGAAAGAACGCCGAAGAGAGAAAGUGCAGUUGCAAACCCGAAGAGAAAGACUGCGAGCGAUCGCAGGAUAACGUCAUCUCUCGAUACAAAAAGCUUGUCAAGUGCGCGCCGCCUGCUCAUUGACGCCCCAAACAUUGAAAGCCCGGCCGAGAGUGGCAUACAACACUUAA